CUCACUAGUCGAGUCGGCCUGCGCGGAAGAUGUAACGGGGCUCAAACCACACACCGAAGCUGCGGGUGUCACGUAAGUGACGCGGUAGAGGAGCGUUCUGUAAGCCUGUGAAGGUGAGUUGAGAAGCUUGCUGGAGGUAUCAGAAGUGCGAAUGCUGACAUGAGUAACGACAAUGGGUGUGAAAAACACCCACGCCGAAAGACCAAGGGUUCCUGCGCAACGUUAAUCGACGCAGGGUUAGUCGGUUCCUAAGGCGAGGCUGAAAAGCGUAGUCGAUGGGAAACAGGUUAAUAUUCCUGUACUUCUGGUUACUGCGAUGGAGGGACGGAGAAGGCUAGGCCAGCUUGGCGUUGGUUGUCCAAGUUUAAGGUGGUAGGCUGAAAUCUUAGGUAAAUCCGGGGUUUCAAGGCCGAGAGCUGAUGACGAGUCGUCUUUUAGAUGACGAAGUGGUUGAUGCCAUGCUUCCAAGAAAAGCUUCUAAGCUUCAGGUAACCAGGAACCGUACCCCAAACCGACACAGGUGGUCGGGUAGAGAAUACCAAGGCGCUUGAGAGAACUCGGGUGAAGGAACUAGGCAAAAUGGCACCGUAACUUCGGGAGAAGGUGCGCCGGCUAGGGUGAAGGAUUUACUCCGUAAGCUCUGGCUGGUCGAAGAUACCAGGCCGCUGCGACUGUUUAUUAAAAACACAGCACUCUGCAAACACGAAAGUGGACGUAUAGGGUGUGACGCCUGCCCGGUGCCGGAAGGUUAAUUGAUGGGGUUAGCGCAAGCGAAGCUCUUGAUCGAAGCCCCGGUAAACGGCGGCCGUAACUAUAACGGUCCUAAGGUAGCGAAAUUCCUUGUCGGGUAAGUUCCGACCUGCACGAAUGGCGUAACGAUGGCGGCGCUGUCUCCACCCGAGACUCAGUGAAAUUGAAAUCGCUGUGAAGAUGCAGUGUAUCCGCGGCUAGACGGAAAGACCCCGUGAACCUUUACUGUAGCUUUGCACUGGACUUUGAGCCUGCUUGUGUAGGAUAGGUGGGAGGCUUUGAAGCGUGGACGCCAGUUCGC
rnacentral:rRNA from 1 species